rnacentral:misc_RNA from 1 species
GAAGUGCGAAACGUGUCAUGACUUGCAGAUUCCCGAGAGCUGACGAAUCUCUGAAUGCAAAUGGCGGCCGCUCGACUCGGCCAUGGAUUGCAGAGUGUAGUGGUUCCGACUCCUCAUCCGACCGCAAGCUCACCACGGCUUGCGGUUGCGUAUCUGCGCUUGCACAACUCUCGCGAGCGUGAAAAGGCGAGUUAAGGGGCAUCUCGCACCGAGUGCCUCUUAACUACGGAACUAAACUGCGAUGCUUGCGUCGCAAUCCUUAACUCAAAAUCAUUACACCCCACCUCUGCAAUGCAGGAAUACCCGCUGAACUUAA